rnacentral:rRNA from 1 species
UACGAAGGGGGCUAGCGUUGUUCGGAAUUACUGGCGUAAAGCGCACGUAGGCGGAUACUUAAGUCAGGGGUGAAAUCCCGGGGCUCAACCCCGGAACUGCCUUUGAUACUGGGUAUCUCGAGUCCGGAAGAGGUGAGUGGAAUUCCGAGUGUAGAGGUGAAUUCGUAGAUAUUCGGAGGAACACCAGUGGCGAAGGCGGCCUCACUGGUCCGGUACUGACGCUGAGGUGCGAAAG